rnacentral:rRNA from 1 species
CCUACGGGCGGCAGCAGUGGGGAAUAUUGGACAAUGGGGGCAACCCUGAUCCAGCCAUGCCGCGUGUGUGAAGAAGGCCCUCGGGUUGUAAAGCACUUUCAGUGAGGAAGAACGCCUGGUGGUUAAUACCCAUCAGGAAAGACAUCACUCACAGAAGAAGCACCGGCUAACUCCGUGCCAGCAGCCGCGGUAAUACGGAGGGUGCGAGCGUUAAUCGGAAUUACUGGGCGUAAAGCGCGCGUAGGUGGCUUGAUAAGCCGGUUGUGAAAGCCCCUGGCUCAACCUGGGAACGGCAUCCGGAACUGUCAAGCUAGAGUGCAGGAGAGGAAGGUAGAAUUCCCGGUGUAGCGGUGAAAUGCGUAGAGAUCGGGAGGAAUACCAGUGGCGAAGGCGGCCUUCUGGACUGACACUGACACUGAGGUGCGAAAGCGUGGGUAGCAAACAGGAUUAGAUACCCUGGUAGUC